rnacentral:lncRNA from 14 species
CGCCCCCGCCGCCGGACGCGCCCGCGAUGCUGCGCCCGCCCGGGCCCGGUGCGUGCGGGACCCCGGGACCCCCGGGACCGCCCAGGACCGCCCCCGGAACCCCCGGCAUCGCCCCGGCCGCCCCCCGGGCCCCCGCACCGCGCCCUGCCCGCGGCCCCCGCCCCGGGCCUGCUGCUGCCCGCACCGCAGCGACCCCCCGGGCGCCUCACCGGGACCCCCGGGCCCCUCCCCGGGCCUGUCCGUUCCCCUCGGGCCUCAUCGGGACCCCCCGGCCCCUCACCGGGACCCCCGGGCCCCUCUCCGGGCCUGUCCGUUCCCCUCGGGCCUCAUCGGGACCCCUCGGCCCCUCACCGGGCCUCACGGGGACCCCCCGAACCCCCCGGGCCUUAUCGGGACCCCCCGGGCCUGUCCCCGGGCCUGUCCCGUCCCCGCCCCGGGCCUCAGCGGGACCCCCGGGCCUGUCCCGUCCCCGCCGGCUCCCUCCGUCCGCCCGGGACUCAUCGCGACCCCCCCGGGCCUGUCCCCCCCAUUCCGGGCCCCAUCCCCCCCUGCCCCCCCCGCGUGGAGCCCCUGGGGGAUGGGGGGGGAUGGGGGGGGCACCGGGGGCACCGGCGCGUUCCCCCCCCCGAUCCGCGGCCCCUCCCCACGGCCGUGGCUGGGCAAACACCCCGGGGUGGGGCCGGGGGCACCCCCAGGAGCUGCCCCCCCCCCCCAGAAGGGCUGUGGGGGCUCUGGGGGUCCCCUGGGGACACGGGGGGGGUGACGGUGCUGUUGUUAUUGUAGGGUCACCUGGGCGGGGGCCGGGGGGGUUGAUGAGCCCCCAGAAUGGGUCUGGGGGUGGUGGGGGCCGUGUGUGUGUGACCCCCCCGUGUCCCCCCCCAGCCCCGGGCUCGUGGCUCUGCUGAUCCUCCGUGCUGCGUCCCCCAUGGGCUCACCAGGUGGGUGUGGGGGGGACCCCCCGCUCUGGGGACCCCCCCGGGGCUGCGACCCCCCCUCGUGCACGGGUCUCAGCUUUGGGGACCCCCUUUGGGCCCUUCCCCCCGGGCUGUGGGACCCCCUUGGAGCACCCAUGGGACCCCCCGGCCAUGGAGCACCCCCGGGUUCUGGGCACCCCUCUUGGGCACCCCCCGAGUUUUGGGGACCCCCCCUUGGGCACCUCCGGGUUCUGGGGACCCCCCCGGGCACCUCCCGACUUCAGGGGACCCCCUUGGACACCCCCCAGGUUCUUGGGACCCCCUUGGACACCCCCCGGUUCUCGGGACCCCCCUUGGGCACCUCCUGGGUUUUGGAGACCCCCCUCGUGCACCCCACAGGG